UACGGAGGAUGCAAGCGUUAUCCGGAAUGAUUGGGCGUAAAGCGUCCGCAGGUGGCUGUGUAAGUCUGCUGUCAAAGAGCAAAGCUCAACUUUGUAAAGGCAGUGGAAACUACACGGCUAGAGUGCGUUCGGGGCAGAGGGAAUUCCUGGUGUAGCGGUGAAAUGCGUAGAUAUCGGGAGGAACACCAGUGGCGAAGGCGACUACCUGGCCUGUUUCUUGACGCUGAGGCGCGAAAGCUAGGGGAGCAAACGGG
rnacentral:rRNA from 1 species